GGGGCUGACUGGUUUUGACAACAUGAGGGGUGGUAUGUAAGCAUGCAGUGUGUGGUGGCGCGUCACUUAAACAGUGUCACAAAACAACAAAAGGCGAAACUGAUUACGCUCUCGCUGCUUAAACGAAUAAAGUAGUUUAGGCUUUAUUCCGGUACCAGGUACCGGAACGAGACGUCUCCCGGGCGGUAAUGCCCUGAUCCAACCCGAUAAGGAGGCGCACGGAAUUUAAGGGCUGGCCUGAAGAUUGUUCCGGUCGGAUGGUGAGAUAAACAGGAACUAAGGGUUUGUUAGGUUGUCAUGCAGCUGGCAGAUCACGAAAAUAAAGCAUGAAUAAGCAUGUAGAAAGCAUAUGGUCUCCAUGUUUGGACGCGGGUUCGAUUCCCGCCAGCUCCAC
rnacentral:tmRNA from 1 species